GAUGAACGCUGGCGGCGUGCCUAAUACAUGCAAGUCGAGCGAACGGACGAGAAGCUUGCUUUUCUGAUGUUAGCGGCGGACGGGUGAGUAACACGUGGAUAACCUACCUAUAAGACUGGGAUAACUUCGGGAAACCGGAGCUAAUACCGGAUAAUAUUUUGAACCGCAUGGUUCAAAAGUGAAAGACGGUCUUGCUGUCACUUAUAGAUGGAUCCGCGCUGCAUUAGCUAGUUGGUAAGGUAACGGCUUACCAAGGCAACGAUGCAUAGCCGACCUGAGAGGGUGAUCGGCCACACUGGAACUGCGACACGGUCCAGACUCCUACGGGAGGCAGCAGUAGGGAAUCUUCCGCAAUGGGCGAAAGCCUGACGGAGCACCGCCGCGUGAGUGAUGAAGGUCUUCGGAUCGUAAAACUCUGUUAUUAGGGAAGAACAUAUGUGUAAGUAACUGUGCACAUCUUGACGGUACCUAAUCAGAAAGCCACGGCUAACUACGUG
rnacentral:rRNA from 1 species